GGAAGGAGAAGUCGUAACAAGGUUUUCCAAUGGUCCUUCUCGCCCCGUUGGGUUCGAGUCGCACGGAAGCCUGAGCGGGGCAUGCGAUGCAUGCAACGCUAGUGCCCGUUGAUGGUGCGAUGCUAUCAAAUUGCGGGAAAGUCCAGGGGAGCUCCCAUGGAAGCUUUUGCCACUUCUGCUACCAAGCACGGCGGCCGAGGAAUUGAGCCGAGUGUGGCCGAGUCAAUGAGCUCGGGUAAGGUGACAACGCGAAGUGGGUAGGACAACCCGCAGCCAAAUUGCCGACAUUCGGUGAUGCUGUUCACAGACUAGAUGAUAGCAGGUUGGUGUACCUAAGUUGCUCCAGCUCAAGAUAUAGUCGAUCCGUGCGGGAAACUGCACGGGAAUGUAUUUNCCUCUGCAUGAGUAUUCACCGUUCCGUAGGUGAACCUGCGGAAGGAUCA
rnacentral:rRNA from 1 species